rfam:Aedes albopictus isolate Foshan contig20831, whole genome shotgun sequence.
UAGCCUAGUGGUUAAGGCUAUGGUUCGCCAAUCCGGAGACGGCGGGUUCGAUUCCCGU